CCCUCUCUCUCAAACUUUCUCCCUCUCUCUCUUUCCUCCGAUCUGCCACCACCGCCCGCCGCCUGCCGCCCGCCGCCGCCGCCCACUGCCCGCGGUACGCCGUCAUCCCGCCGUCCGCUGCCCGCCGCCUGCUGCCCCUAAUUCGCCCCCAAUCUCCGCUGCCGAUAAGUUGCCGUCGCCGACAGCCGCCCGCCGCCUGCUGCCUGCGGUUCGCCGUCAUACCGCCGCCGUCAUCCCGCCGCCUGCUGCCCCCUAAUUCGCCCCCAAUCUCCGCUGCCGAUCCGUUGCCGUCGCCAGCCAUUGCCGUCGCCGACAGCCGUCCGCCGACAGCCGUUGCCGUUGCCGACAGCCCUCCCCCGCUAGCCGUUACCGUCUGCCGCCAUUCCUCCUCCGUCUGCCCUCCUUUCAAGGUAAUUUUCCUUUUUUUUUAAUCUUUGUUUGUUUAUGUUGAAAAUUUUGUAUGUGUUUGAUUAUUGCGAACUAUUUUUGGGUUUUUUCUCGGAAUUAUGUGUUUGUUUGUUUUAUGUUGAUUUGAUUGAUGAGCCUGUGUUGCUCGGAAUUCUUCGAAAUUAUUGUUGCUCGGAAUUAUGCGAAUUGUUCUUGGGUUUUAUGUUGCUCGGAAUUAUGUGUUUGUGAGUCUGUUGUGUGUUUUGGUGAGUCUAUUGUGUGUUUUGGUUAUUUGAUGUUUCUUUCUGCAAUUUGGCUAUUGUGUCGGUGAUCAAUUUUUCCCUUUUUUUUUGUUUUUUUUUUCUUUUCUUUGUUUUUUUUUUUUGGGAAAAUUCCGAAAAAAUUCCGAAAAUUUCGUAAAAAUUUCCGAAAAAUUCCGAUUUUCCGAAAAUUCCAAAAAAAUCGGAAUCGGAAUCAAUUUUUGAAUUCCGAAAAAAUCGGAAUCGGAAUUGGAAGGCGUUGUGGACUUCCGAAAAAAAUCGGAUAUUUUCCGAAACACCCAAAUCCUAUACGAUCCGUCCGAUUUCCACUCCUAAUUAUGAAUAUAAAAUAUAUAAAUAAAUAAAAAAACCUUUUCGGAAAAAUAUUGAAAAAUUGCUUUAAAUUAGGGUAAAUUACAAUCACACCCUAAGGUAAAGCUAAAUUAUGAAAAAAAUCAUAAUAUUUGGGUAAGUAAAACAAUCCCUCGACUACGUAUUGUCUUUGUUCACCCUUACGGAGUCAAAUUUACUUACUAAUGAGGGGGGAUUUUUGAAAAUUGAAAAUUGAUAUCAAUUGAAAAUUGAAAGCUUUCCCGUUGCGACUACCACCUUAAUUUAGUUUUAGUUUAUGAAUGUAACUUUGAAAAUAAUUGUGAUUUUAAUAAUUGUGACCCUUCCCAAUUUCUAGGUAAUCUUUAGGGGUGCAAGUUGGAACGGAGUUUCCAAUUUCCGCCGGUUCCGAUCUGAAAAGUUCCGAUUUUGGAACAACUUUUUUCAUUCCGACUUCCGAAAUUCCAAUUUCCGAAAUUUUCCGAUUUUUUUGGAUUAGAAUUGGAAUUAUAUAAAAUAAAUUUGGAAUUUCCGAUUUCCGAUCCGAUUUAAUUCCGAAAUUAAUUCCGAAAAAUUCCGAUUUUUUUCCGAAAAAUACACCUAUAAAUAGUAUAUAUUAUAUAAUCCUUAUUUUCCGAAAAAUACACCUAUAAGUUUUGUUUUAGGAUUUUGACAUAAUGAAUUUUUGUUAGAAGUUUUAUUGGAUAUUAUGCUGUGUUUAUUUUUAUUUAUUUUUUUGAACUGAAAUUUAGUAGUUAUUAGUUUUACUUUUAUCGACGUGGAUGCUCUUAUUUUCGAAAAAUUAUGAACAUUUUAGAAAUUUCGGCUAAGUUUUGAAAUUUUAAAGCUUAUGUGAUUUCCGAUUUUUUUCCGAAAUUCCGAAAUUUCCGGGCCUUUUGGAAUUGGAAUGAAUUUUUAGAUUCCGAAAAUUUUGGAAUUGGAAUUGGAAUUGGUUUUGUACUUCCGAAAUUUUUUGGAAAUUUUCCGAAAAGGCUAAUUCCGAUCCGAUCCAUCCGACUUUCACCCCUAGUAAUCUUGUUAAUUAAAGCAUGCCAAAAGAUAGGAGUUGGGUUUUAUUAGAUGAUCGUCGGUUAGAAGUAUAUCAAAAUGGUUGUGUGGAAUUUAUGGAUUUUGCCUUCGCUAAAUGUUACGUUGAUAAUAAAAUAAGAUGCCCAUGUAGAGAUUGUAAGUGUCGUAAAUGGGGGGAUCGUGAAUUCGUUCAUAAACAUUUACUUUGGAGGGGUUGGGAUAAACUGUAUGGACAACGCCGAUGGACUCUGCAUGGAGAGUCCGAAGAAGAAUACAUUGGCGAGGAAAUGAACAAUACUAAUCAUAUAGAAAUUCCCGAAGUUGCAAUUUUAAAUGAACCUGUUGAUGUACGUGAUAACAUGGAAGAGUAUUUACUGCAUGCGUGUCUUGAUCACGAUCAAGAAAAUAAAACGUCGCUAACUGUGAUAAAAACGUCGCUAACCGUGAUAAAAACGUCACUAACCGUGAUAAAACGUCGCUACGAGACAGAAUUCGUCGCGAAUUUUCGUCGCCAGUCUUGCGUUUUGGCCUAGUAGUGGCGAUUAGGGCUUUGGCGGUGGUGACGAUUAGAGCUUUGGCUGGAGUUUUAGUAAUUUUGCUAGGCUUGCUGAGAUUCUAGAAUUUGCAAAAGAAGAAUAGGCUGGGUAGAACUGGCAAGGAGAAGUAGCGGUGGAGGGGACGAGAAGACCGGAGGAGGCUGGUGGUGGAAGAAAGGGGCAUGGGCGGCGGCGGCGGCUUCAAGACAUGAUUGCCGGAGGUGGUGUUGUGAGUCUGGUGGUGGUUGUGAUUUCAAUGAGAAAAAAGAAUUUUGGGGAAGACAUGUUCUUUCUUUCUGUUUGGAGGGAGCGGUUUAACGAGGUGAUUGCCGGUGAUGGCGGUGGAAGUUUGCCGGUGGUCGUGGCAAUUUCAAUGGAGGAAAAGAAUUUUGGGGAAGACGCAAUUUUCUCUCUUCUCUUUUCUUUUUCCUUUUCCAUAAAAAAUGUGUUUUUUUUUCUUUAUUUAAGAAAUUUUUAAAAAUUGCAACUUGAUCCAAAAUUUUGGAUUAAUUGUAUUUAAAUCCAAUUUGAUUUUAUGUUUGAAAAAAUUACAAUUCAGUCCCCUAAUUUAAGUUUCAGGGGUGUAGUAAAAUUGCAAUUUGAUUUCUAUUAUAUAUUAAUUCUAAUUUUAUGUUAUCAAUUGAAG
rnacentral:lncRNA from 1 species